rnacentral:rRNA from 1 species
UACGAAGGGGGGCUAGCGUUGCUCGGAAUCACUGGGCGUAAAGGGUGCGUAGGCGGGUUUUUAAGUCAGGGGUGAAAUCCUGGAGCUCAACUCCAGAACUGCCUUUGAUACUGAAGAUCUUGAGUCCGGGAGAGGUGAGUGGAACUGCGAGUGUAGAGGUGAAAUUCGUAGAUAUUCGCAAGAACACCAGUGGCGAAGGCGGCUCACUGGCCCGGUACUGACGCUGAGGCACGAAAGCUAGGGUAGCAAACGGG